AUAUGAACAACGCAAAAAAUCAACGUUCUCUCUAAAAGCAUUCUUGCGAGUAUCACCUCCCCUCUACGGAGAGGAGUGUGCAUACCAUGAAGUACAGAAAUCGUCUAUGGGAAUGGAGAAAAAACCAGUGUUGGUCUUGGGUGCAGUGUCUUCCAGUCCAUAUGGGAGGGAUUGCAAUGAUCGAUUCUACAC
rnacentral:sRNA from 19 species